rnacentral:rRNA from 1 species
GAAAAGAAAAUUUUGAUGGUCUUGCUACUUGGAUAACCGUAGUAACUCUAGAGCUAAUACAUGCAUCAAUCCCUGACUUCCUGGAAGGGGUGUACUUAUUAGAUGGAAACCAGUGCGGGUUCGCCCGGAUUAUGGUGAUUCAUAAUAAUUUUCGGAUCGAUCAAUUGAUCGAUGCAUCAUUCAAGUUUCUGCCCUAUCAGCUUUGGAUGGUAGGGUAUUGGCCUACCAUGGCAUUAACGGAUAACGGAGAAUUAGGGUUCGAUUCCGGAGAGGGCGCCUGAGAAACGGCGACCAGUUCCAAGGAAGGCAGCAGGCGCGUAAAUUACCCAAUCCUGACACAGGGAGGUAGUGACAAUAAAUAACAAUGUCGGGCCUUCGGGUUUGACAAUUGGAAUGAGAACAAUUUAAAUCCCUCAUCGAGGAUCAAUUGGAGGGCAAGUCUGGUGCCAGCAGCCGCGGUAAUUCCAGCUCCAAUAGCGUAUACUAAAGUUGUUGCAGUUAAAAAGCUCGUAGUUGAAUUUCUGGUUUCGGAGUGCGGUCUGCCCCAUGGGGUAAGUAUCAGCGCUCGGGAGCCAUCCUCGAGGAGAACAUGCCUGUGAUUGAGUUCAUGGGUAUGGGAGCCUCGUCUUUUACUGUGAGCAAACUAGAGUGUUCAAAGCAGGCUUACGCCGUUGAAUACAUUAGCAUGGAAUAAUAAAAUAGGACUCUGGUCUAUUUUGUUGGUUGGUACUCCAGGGUAAUGAUUAAUAGGGACAGUUGGGGGUAUUCGUAUUCAAUUGUCAGAGGUGAAAUUCUUGGAUUUGUGGAAGACGAACUACUGCGAAAGCAUUUACCAAGGAUGUUUUCAUUAAUCAAGAACGAAAGUUAGGGGGAUCGAAGAUGAUUAGAUACCAUCGUAGUCUUAACCAUAAACUAUGCCGACUAGGGAUUGGCGGGUUGUUUAUUUUGACUCCAUCAGCACCUUUAUGAGAAAUCAAAGUCUUUGGGUUCCCGGGGGGAGUAUGGGUCGCAAGGGCUGAACUUAAGAAAAUUGACGGGAAGGGCACCACCAGAGUGAGCCUGCGGCUAUUGACUCACACGGCAAACUAACCAAGUCAGAACUAGUGAAGAAUGACGAUGAGAGCUCUUUCUGAAUCAUGGUGUGGUGCAUGCCGCUCUAAGCUGAUGGCAACUGAUAUCUG